rnacentral:rRNA from 1 species
UACGUAGGUGGCAAGCGUUGUCCGGAUUUACUGGGCGUAAAGAGCGCGCAGGCGGUCGUUCAAGUCGCGUGUGAAAGCCCCCGGCUCAACUGGGGAGGGUCACGCGAUACUGAUCGACUCGAAGGCAGGAGAGGGUAGUGGAAUUCCCGGUGUAGUGGUGAAAUGCGUAGAUAUCGGGAGGAACACCAGUGGCGAAGGCGACUACCUGGCCUGUUCUUGACGCUGAGGCGCGAAAGCUAGGGGAGCAAAUGGG